UGAGGAAUAUUGGGCAAUGCCCGCAAGGGUGACCCAGCAACGCCGCGUGGAGGAUGAAUGUCGUAAGAUUGUAAACUCCUGUUAGAGGGGAAGAAUAGUACCGGUUGGACCGGUAUAUGAGUGUACCCUCAGAGAAAGCCCCGGCUAAUUACGUGCCAGCAGCCGCGGUAAUACGUAGGGGGCAAGCGUUGUCCGGAUUUGCUGGGUGUAAAGGGCGCGCAGGCGGAAUAAAAAGUCAGUGGUGAAAUCCUACA
rnacentral:rRNA from 1 species